rfam:Gossypium raimondii Chr05_contig_1355, whole genome shotgun sequence.
UACUAAAUUUUUUUAUCUAUUUUUACUGUUAAAAACUAGCAUGAUUGACAGAAUAAUUAAAUAGUGACGUGGCAUGCCACGUGUACCUCAUGUUGAUGUACAAGGAUAAUUUUUUAACAGUAAAAGUACAUAAAACUUUUAAUA